rnacentral:RNase_P_RNA from 1 species
CGAGCGUCGCAAGGCGGCCGCUCGGGCACCGACCUCGGCUCACCCCGGGAGCGGGCGCCCGGGAGGAAAGUCCGAGCACGACAGGACACGGUGGUGGGUAACGCCCACCCGCCCGGAUCGGUCACGGGUACCAAGAGGACAUGGCAACAGAAAGCAAACCGCCGAUGGCCCGCGUCGCCGCUUGUUCGGGGCGGAACGGGAUCAGGCAAGGGUGAAAGGGUGCGGUAAGAGCGCACCGCUCGGCUGGCGACAGCCGGGGCACGGCUACAUCCACCGCGUGCAAGGCCACGCAGCCCCCGUCCGUCGCGAGGCGGGACCGCUGGUCCGGCGGGAAGGGGGCGGGUAGGCCGCUGAGGACCGCGUCGGCAACGGCGCGGCGAGAGAAAUGGCCGCCCACGGGCGCUCAGCUCCGCAAGGAUCGGAACGCCCCGGACAGAACUCGGCUUAGCGCGACGCUCGACCG